GUAGACUCACUCUGUACCUGGCUAUAGUCCCAAGUGGGCGCUUUUUCCGUCUUCCACAGAGCAUUCCGGGUGCUGACUACUUUGAUCUGUCAAGGGUCGCUCAGCUGCCGGGAGACACGAGG
ensembl:snoRNA